rnacentral:rRNA from 1 species
CUACGGGGGGCAGCAGUAAGGAAUAUUGGGCAAUGGACGCAAGUCUGACCCAGCCAUGCCGCGUGCAGGAUGACAGCCCUACGGGUUGUAAACUGCUUUUAUACGGGAAAAAUUCCCUGGUCGUGCACCGGGGUUGAUGGUACCGUAAGAAUAAGCAUCGGCUAACUCCGUGCCAGCAGCCGCGGUAAUACGGAGGAUGCAAGCGUUAUGCGGAUUCAUUGGGUUUAAAGGGUGCGCAGGCGGAAUGAUAAGUCAGUGGUGAAAUCCUACGGCUCAACUGUAGAACUGCCAUUGAUACUGUUGUUCUUGAGUACAUUUGAAGUGGGCGGAAUGUGUCAUGUAGCGGUGAAAUGCUUAGAGAUGACACAGAACUCCGAUUGCGAAGGCAGCUCACUAAACUGUAACUGACGCUGAGGCACGAAAGCGUGGGGAUCAAACAGGAUUAGAUACCCCCGUAGUC